rnacentral:misc_RNA from 1 species
AAUGCGAUGCCAGCCGGCCGACCGCGAUGGUCGCCUGCUCCGAUGGAUGGUCGCGUAGCACGCGGACCACUUCGGAGAACAGCACGAACGACGACAGGAAGCGUUCCGGGCCGGAGCGCUCAUAGGCCAGUUCGCUGGUCACCUGAUGCCAGCCGUUGCCCAUCUCGCCGAUCAGCGCCGACGAUGGCACGAAGACAUCCUCGAACGCCACCUCGUUGAAGUGUUUCGCGCCGGUGAGAUCGGCGAUCGGGCGGAUGG